ACGAACGCUGGCGGCGUGCCUAACACAUGCAAGUCGAGCGAGGAGAUCCUUCGGGAUGAUCCUAGCGGCGGACGGGUGAGGUAACACGUGGGGCAACCUGCCUCAUAGAGAGGAAUAGCCUUCCGAAAGGGAGAUUAAUACCUCAUAACAUUGCAGUUUCGCAUGGAACAGCAAUUAAAGGAGUAAUCCGCUAUGAGAUGGGGCCCGCGGCGCAUUAGCUAGUUGGUGAGGUAACGGCUCACCAAGGCGACGAUGCGUUUAGCCGACCUGAGAGGGUGAUCGGCCACAUUGGGACUGAGACACGGCCCAGACUCCUACGGGAGGCAGCAGUGGGGAAUAUUGCACAAUGGGGGAAACCCUGAUGCAAGCAACGCCGCGUGAGUGAUGACGGCCUUCGGGUUGUAAAGCUCUGUCUUCAGGGACGAUAAUGACGGUACCUGAGGAGGAAGCCACGGCUAACUACGUGCCAGCAGCCGC
rnacentral:rRNA from 1 species